GAUGAACGCUAGCUACAGGCUUAACACAUGCAAGUCGAGGGGAAACGACUUGAAGCUUGCUUCGAUGGGCGUCGACCGGCGCACGGGUGAGUAACGCGUAUCCAACCUGCCUCUGACUAAGGGAUAACCCGGCGAAAGUCGGACUAAUACCUUAUGAGGUUUUCUGCAGACAUCUAAUGAAAACGAAAGAUUUAUCGGUCAGCGAUGGGGAUGCGUCUGAUUAGCUUGUUGGCGGGGUAACGGCCCACCAAGGCAACGAUCAGUAGGGGUUCUGAGAGGAAGGUCCCCCACAUUGGAACUGAGACACGGUCCAAACUCCUACGGGAGGCAGCAGUGAGGAAUAUUGGUCAAUGGGCGAGAGCCUGAACCAGCCAAGUAGCGUGCAGGAUGACGGCCCUAUGGGUUGUAAACUGCUUUUAUGUGGGGAUAAAGUGAGCUACGUGUAGUUUAUUGCAGGUACCACAUGAAUAAGGACCGGCUAAUUCCGUGCCAGCAGCCGCGGUAAUACGGAAGGUCCAGGCGUUAUCCGGAUUUAUUGGGUUUAAAGGGAGCGUAGGCCGUGGAUUAAGCGUGUUGUGAAAUGUAGACGCUCAACGUCUGAAUUGCAGCGCGAACUGGUUCACUUGAGUAUGCACAACGUAGGCGGAAUUCGUCGUGUAGCGGUGAAAUGCUUAGAUAUGACGAAAGAACUCCGAUUGCGAAGGCAGCUUACGGGAGCACAACUGACGCUGAAGCUCGAAGGUGCGGGUAUCAAACAGGUUAGAUACCCUAGUAGUCCAAGGGCGAAUUCCACAGUGGGAUAUCAUGCUUAUCAACCUCCGACCUCCGAGGGGGUGACCCUGUACCCAGCUUUUGUUCCCUUUAGUGAGGGGUUAAUUACUGCUGUGUGGAUCAUUGCUUGCUGUGUGUCUGUUUGUGUGUGUGUGUUUAUAUUUGUGUUGCUCUACGUACUUUGUAUUU
rnacentral:rRNA from 1 species